AUUGAACGCUGGCGGCAUGCCUUACACAUGCAAGUCGAACGGCAUCGCGGGAAAGCUUGCUUUCCUGGCGGCGAGUGGCGAACGGGUGAGUAACACAUCGGAACGUACCGGCUAGUGGGGGAUAACCCGUCGAAAGACGGGCUAAUACCGCAUACGCUCUUCGGAGGAAAGCAGGGGACCUUUGGGCCUUGCGCUAGCCGAGCGGCCGAUGUCCGAUUAGCUAGUUGGUGGGGUAAAGGCCUACCAAGGCGACGAUCGGUAGCGGGUCUGAGAGGACGAUCCGCCACACUGGGACUGAGACACGGCCCAGACUCCUACGGGAGGCAGCAGUGGGGAAUCUUGGACAAUGGGGGCAACCCUGAUCCAGCAAUGCCGCGUGGGUGAAGAAGGCCUUCGGGUUGUAAAGCCCUUUCGGCAGGGAAGAAAUCGGCGGGGCGAAUAACCCUGCUGGAUGACGGUACCUACAGAAGAAGCACCGGCUAACUACGUG
rnacentral:rRNA from 1 species